AUUUUUGGCGGCUCGAAUGGGAGGGCGCGAGCCCUGCCGGUUUCCGCAAGGAUUGCCCGGUCUUCCAACCUGUUCGAGCUGCCGCCCUC
rnacentral:antisense_RNA from 5 species